CAUGUGACGAGUUUGAUCAUGGCUCAGGAUGAACGCUAGCGGCAGGCCUAAUACAUGCAAGUCAAGGGGAUAGCAAUAUCACCGGCGGACGGGUGCGUAACGCGUACACAACGUGCCCAAGGGCGGAGGAAAGCGGCGGGAAACUGCCGGUAAUACUCCAUGGUGUUGUUGAGUGGCAUCACUUAACAACUAAAGUACAAGCGCCCUUGGAUCGGUGUGCGUUCGAUUAGCUAGUUGGCGGGGUAACGGCCCACCAAGGCUUCGAUCGAUAGGGGGUGUGAGAGCAUGACCCCCCACACGGGUACUGAGACACGGACCCGACUCCUACGGGAGGCAGCAGUAAGGAAUAUUGGACAAUGGGCGGAAGCCUGAUCCAGCCAUGCCGCGUGAAGGACGAAGGCGCUCAGCGUUGUAAACUUCUUUUGGAUGGGAACAAUAACUCCGACUUGUCGGAACUUGAGGGUACCAUCAGAAUAAGCACCGGCUAACUCCGUG
rnacentral:rRNA from 1 species